UUUUUUAGGGAAAAUUUGGCCUUCCCCCCAGGGGAGGCCCGGCAAUUUCCUU
rfam:HIV-1 isolate 94BR-RJ-59 from Brazil, complete genome.